GAUGAAGAACGCAGCGAAAUGCGAUAAGUAAUGUGAAUUGCAGAAUUCAGUGAAUCAUCGAAUCUUUGAACGCACCUUGCACCCUUUGGCAUUCCGAAGGGUAGGCUCGUUUGAGUGUCAUUGUACUCUCACACUCUCCGAUCCUAUGGAUUCGGGGAGCGGUGGACUUGGGUGUUGCUGCCUUUCCUUGUGGCUCACCUCAAAUGUGUCAGUGCACCUCUUGGUUGGACAUAGUACGGCGUGAUAAGUGUCUUCGCCGGCACCUCGCAAGAGGGUGGCCGAUCGGGAGCUCUGUGCUUUCAAACCGUCUUCGGACAAUUUCUGACAACUUGACCUCAAAUCGAGUAGGACUACCCGCUGAACUUAAGCAUAUCAAUAAGCGGAGGA
rnacentral:misc_RNA from 1 species